GGUAAUAGCUCAGUGGUAGAGCACAUGCUUGGCAUGCGUGAGGUCCUGGGUUCCAUCCCCAGAACCU
rnacentral:tRNA from 1 species